GGCCUUGGAAAACCAAGGCUGCUUAGUUGGGAGUGAGAUGAUCAUGAAAGUGGGGCUUCGACCCUACCUUCUGGCUCCAUGCAUCUGGGAAGCUCUACUUCUGAAGCGACAUCGCUAAUUUCUCUCAUAUCCAGCCCCUGGAAGAAAACAGCCACCCAAACUGAAGAGAUGGGUGCCAGCUGGAACCUCACCACAGGCCUCGCUUCCCUCGUACAACCUGCAAAGAGCCACAGUACCACAGCUGCCUUCCUGAAAACCUGCCUGGGGAAUAAGCCUUGGGCCUGCUCGGAUCCAGAACUAUGAGAAGGCACACGAGGGCCGUGGGAGGGAGGGCUCCCAGAAUGAGAGGGAGCACCAGCGCCCGCCUUCCUCUGUGUGCCGCGUACCUGGACUGGGGAGGGGAACCGGUGUGUGCCACUGUGAGUAAUAAAGACGGCCCUGCCAGGAGCCUCAUCCUGCUUGAGCGAGGCCCCUGGGUGCCGACGAGCCUG